rnacentral:rRNA from 1 species
GUGAGGUAACCUUUUGGAGCCAGCCGCCGAAGGUGGGACAGAUGAUUGGGGUGAAGUCGUAACAAGGUAGCCGUAUCGGAAGGUGCGGCUGGAUCACCUCCUUUCUAAGGAA